CCUACGGGAGGCAGCAGUAGGGAAUCUUCCGCAAUGGACGAAAGUCUGACGGAGCAACGCCGCGUGAGUGAUGAAGGCUUUCGGGUCGUAAAACUCUGUUGUUAGGGAAGAACAAGUACAAGAGUAACUGCUNGUACCUUGACGGUACCUAACCAGAAAGCCACGGCUAACUACGUGCCAGCAGCCGCGGUAAUACGUAGGUGGCAAGCGUUAUCCGGAAUUAUUGGGCGUAAAGCGCGCGCAGGCGGUUUCUUAAGUCUGAUGUGAAAGCCCACGGCUCAACCGUGGAGGGUCAUUGGAAACUGGGGAACUUGAGUGCAGAAGAGAAAAGCGGAAUUCCACGUGUAGCGGUGAAAUGCGUAGAGAUGUGGAGGAACACCAGUGGCGAAGGCGGCUUUUUGGUCUGUAACUGACGCUGAGGCGCGAAAGCGUGGGGAGCAAACAGGAUUAGAUACCCUGGUAG
rnacentral:rRNA from 1 species